CUCAGCAUUCACAAACCCGGGAAGAACCCAGCCACCUCCAUGGCUGGCAGACCACUGCUCCAGGCAGCAAUAAAGCUCCCAGAGGCCUUUUGUCAAUUGUCCCCUGAACAGAACAUAAACAACUCCAUGGCUGCCAUUCAGCGGACAUCCUGUUUACAUGAAUUCCAGGAAUUCUAAGAAUUCCAGAAUUGGAAACAAACAAACAAGAACAAAAAACCUACAUACCCUACAGAGAAUUGGUGAUGCUAAAUUGCGUUGGGGUUCCUCUGGUUGAGAACACUGACUCUCUGAGAACAUCUGACCUGGUGACAAUGAGGCCG